rnacentral:rRNA from 1 species
AACGAACGCUGGCGGCAUGCCUAACACAUGCAAGUCGAACGAGACCUCCGGGUCUAGUGGCGCACGGGUGCGUAACGCGUGGGAACCUGCCCUUAGGUUCGGAAUAACUCCCCGACAGGGGUGCUAAUACCGGAUAAUGUCUUCUGACCAAAGAUUUAUCGCCUUUGGAUGGGCCCGCGUUGGAUUAGCUAGUUGGUAUGGUAAAAGCCUACCAAGGCGACGAUCCAUAGCUGGUCUGAGAGGAUGAUCAGCCACACUUGGACUGAGACACGGCCCAGAAUCCUACGGGAGGGAGCAGUGGGGAAUAUUGGACAAUGGGCGAAGGCAUGAUCGAGCAAUGCCGCGUGAGUGAUGAAGGCCGUAGAGUUGUAAAGCUCUUUUAACCGGGAUGAUAAUGACAGUACCGGGAGAAUAAGCUACGGCUAACUCCGUG